rnacentral:rRNA from 1 species
UACAGAGUUGGCAAGCGUUGUUCGGAAUUACUGGGCGUAAAGCGUGCGCAGGCGGUUUUUUAAUACAGAUGUGAAAUCCCCGGGCUUAACCUGGGAACUGCAUUUGUGACUGCAAGACUAGAGUGCGGCAGAGGGGGGUAGAAUUCCACGUGUAGCAGUGAAAUGCGUAGAUAUGUGGAGGAAUACCGAUGGCGAAGGCAGCCCCCUGGGUCGACACUGACGCUCAUGCACGAAAGCGUGGGGAGCAAACGGG